rnacentral:rRNA from 1 species
UACGUAGGGGGCGAGCGUUAUCCGGAAUUACUGGGCGUAAAGCGCACGCAGGCGGUUCGCCAAGUCUGGCGUGACAGUUGUCGGCUCAACCGACAAAGGACUUCAAAAACUGGUGAACUUGAGGACGAGAGAGGAACAUGGAACUCCAGGUGUAGUAGUGAAAUGCGUAGAUAUCUGGAAGAACACCAAUGGCGAAGGCAAUGUUCUGGCUCGUUUCUGACGCUCAGGUGCGAAAGCCAGGGGAGCGAACGGG